UGAAAAUGGCUUUGCGAAGUUGUUACAGUG
rnacentral:piRNA from 1 species